GAGAAAACAAUGUCUUUCCUUCAUACUGAUCAUACUCUGAACUCAAACUACAGAAUCAUGUUAAUCAUCUCUUCUAUUUUAAUAUUUAUCCUCAGUUACUGUGAAGCGAAUGGGAAUGCCAUCAGAGCAAACCAACCAUCUGAAGUUUUAACUGAAGGAAGCAGCAUCACUCUCUCCUGUACUUAUGAAUCUGGAUCAGCUUACAGUCUCCACUGGUACCGGCAGAUGCCUGGAUCAACACUAGAGUUUCUGCUGCUGAUUGUGAAGUCUACUAAGUAUGUCGCCAAAGCUGACCGACCUCACCCGCAUAUGUCCAUUAGACUUCAUGAUAAACUUGUGGAUCUGGAGAUCUCCUCUGCUGCUGUCUCUGACUCUGCAGUGUAUUACUGUGCUCUGGAGCCCACAGUGACAGGAAAAUCAUCUACACUGUACAAUAACAGGUUUCUUGUAGUCAUGUUUUCUAAGAGGGAGGAGCUUCUUCCCAUGCAGUGUCUCAGUCUUUCCCCCUCUUUCCUUUCCUUUGCAGUGUAGUGUUGCCUUUUUCUG